GUCUUGAAAUUUUGAUUGCUCUGUGCUCUUGGAUAAUUUGCAUUCGAAGUUGGAGGGCGUUUGAGUUAGUAUGUGUAAGAGUUAUCAGCUGAAAUAAACCAUCGUAUACUGCUGUUGCAUUCAUCUAAAUUUAAUUUUUUUUGGUGGAAAAUGUACACUUCAAAGUUUCCAUACCUAUUUGACGCCGGAUAUAGAAUAAAACAUGUUUUUCUACGACAGUAUUAUUACCAUAGCAUCACUAAUGGGGCAUAAACAUUGUUGAUUUACUAGUAGUUUGGUUACAUAUCUGAGAAUAGUUGUGCUACCUUGCGUAUAUUAAUAAUUUGUCCUUGAAGAUUAAGAUAGGGAAUAUUGGAGGAUCUAGUGUCUGAAAUAUAAUUAUAUUUUUUAUAAUGCCAUCUUUUUUUCAUCAUGGAUACGAUAAAAACCCUCCGAAAUAGAGUAGCUGAGCUUCAUAAAUGCGCUAAAAGUAACAAUGAAAUUGUCAAAGAGUUGAAGGCCGCCAACAUUAUAUAGAAGUAUGUGUGUAACACUGUCUGCCGCUACAAGGAGACAUCUACAAUGCCAUGAUAGUCGAUAAGAUCCUAUUCUGGCUUCAGGACACAUAUGGUGAUCCUCCUUACAUCUUCAGCCAAGAUAGCGCUCCCUCUCAAAUCAUCAAAAAGUGUGUAGGACUGGUUCAAGUCUAGUUUCAAGGGCUUUUUGUACAAGAGUAACUGGCCACCUAGCUGCACUGACCUAAAUACUACGUACUUUUUUAUAUGAUCCAUGCUUAAGGCCAGGGCUUGCACCAAGCACCCCCCAAACUCAAGACACUUUGAAGGUGCCCUUAUCUAGGAUCGGUACAAUAUCUCAAACGAAACUGUCUGUGCUGCCUCUACACAAGUGCCUCUUUGUCUCCGCCAUGUAAUUUGGACAAAGGGAGACUAUUUUGAAAAAAUGUUUUUUAAAUUAAUCUAUAUAACAAUUUUAUCAUUUUUACCAAAUUUUAUACUUAUUAAUAAAUUUAUAUUGAAUUUA
rnacentral:lncRNA from 1 species